AAUCCCAGCACUUUGGGAGGCCGAGGCGGGAGGAUCACUUGAGGCCAGGAGUUUGAGACCAGCCUGGGCAACAUAGUGAGACUGUCUCUAACUUAAAUUUUAAUCACACACACAUUCUCUUUGGGGGGGGGGGGUGCGGGGCACGGAGUCUAGCACGGGGCCCAGGCUAGAGUGCAGUGGCGUGAGCUCACUACAACCUCUGGCUCCUGGUUCAAGUGAGUCUCCUGCCUCAGCCUCCCCAGUAGCUGGGAUUACAGGUGCCCACCACCAUGCCAGGCUAAUUUUUGUAUUUUUAGUAGAGAUGGGGUUUCGCCAUGUUGGCCAGGCUGGUCUCGAACUCCUGACCUUAAGUGAUCCGCCCGCCUCAGCCUCCCAAAGUGCUGCAAUUACAGGCAUGAGCCACUAUGCCCAGCCACAUUCUUAACCUUAAAGGGCUCUGAAUAUGGAGAUAGAACACUGGAGUCGAAGUCCCAGCCCCCUCUGUCGCUCUCUGAAGCUCAGUGUUGUCAUUUGCAAGAUGAGGACAAUAUAGCAUGCAACCUCACCUUCAGAAAAGACUCCAUGGACUUUGAGGCCAGAGAGUUGCUCCGGAACAGGGUGUUGGUCUCACCUACAAACAGAGGUCCCAGUGGGUAGGGG
rnacentral:lncRNA from 1 species